rnacentral:rRNA from 1 species
AUACGAAAGGUGCAAGCGUUGUUCGGAUUUACUGGGCGUAAAGAGAGUGUAGGUGGUUUAUUAAGUCGGAUGUGAAAUCCCGGGGCUCAACCUCGGAACUGCAUUCGAUACUGAUAGGCUAGAGUUUGGGAGGGGUAAGCGGAAUUCCGUGUGUAGCAGUGAAAUGCGUAGAUAUACGGAGGAACACCUGAGGCGAAGGCGGCUUACUGGACCAAUACUGACACUGAGACUCGAAAGCGUGGGGAGCAAACAGGAUUAGAAACCCUAGUAGUCC